CAACUUGCGACGUUUAAGGGGUGUGGAAAUAAGGAUGUGAUGUGGUCGAGAGUAAAAUGCAUCCAAUGGUCGGUUGUUGCUCAUUUUGCACUCCUAAGAAAACACCAACUCGAAAACCCUAAAUUGAUCUCUUUUUUAGGGUUUACCAUGGGCGACGCAUUAGACAAAAUCAAAGGUUUAUGGAGAUCUCAAGUUUACGAUGAAGAGAAUUGGGCUACUAAUGCGAAAUUACUACGUGCUGUAGGGCUGUUUGCUGGUUCUAUCGUUUUGAUGCGAAAUUUUGGUGACCUUAUGGCUGGCUAUAUGAAGCUUUGACUUUGUCUUUAUAAUCAUGUUUUUUAGUUGUUAUUAGUGGUGGUCAAACUGCUAUGGAUACUUUUGUAGAGCCAUGAUUUUCACUUAAUAAUUCUGUUUUAACUAACUCAGGGUUCUUCAACUUUUCUAUGGAUACUUUUGUAGAGACAUGAAAAUGGCAACUUUCUCAUCUUUAAUG